AAACUUCCUCUCCUGUCUUCAUGUGGAUGCUAACUUAAAACUCUUAUUUCUGGGUCAGAUAACUCCCUGCUCUCAGCCCUGAUGACUACACCUUUGACACACACUAUAUUGACUGGAAGAUUCUGUAGGCUGUCCGAUUUAGGUAAAUGGCGCUGUCUUUGGCUUUCGUUAUGAUGCUCAGAAGUGAGAGCUGCUGCAGUUUGACCCCCUCUCCCUGGCUGUGGGCUUUGCUGUGACACAAGGUAAAGUGAGGAGUCAGUGCUGCCCUGGGACCCAGCCCAAGCAUAUGGCUACACUGUGGCUUAGUGUCCGGGGGCUGCUUUAACAAAUGACCGCAAACUGGGUGUCUUCAAACAACAGAAGCUCUUCUCCUGGAGUUCUGAAGGCCAGAAGUCCAAAAUCAAGGUGUGGGCAGGCUAGGUUCCUUCCAAAAGCUCUGGGAGAAUGUUCCGGCUCUCUCCUGGCUUCUGGCAGUGCCAGGAUUCCUUGGCUGUCUUUGGUUCCUAGAUGCUGCACUCCAGUCUCUGUCUCCGUGGUCACAUGGUAUCCUCUCCGUGCCUCCCUGCGGCUUCAUGUGGUCUUCUUAUAAGGACACCAGUCACUGGAUUUAGGACCCACCCUAAAUCCAGGAGGACUUCAUCUAUGAGAAUGGCAUACACAAAGAGCCUAUUUCCAAAUAAGUUCACAUUCUGAGGUUCUGGGUGGACAGGUAUUUGUUAGGACACUAUUUAGCCUAGUCCAUCCUCAUUCUUCUACUCCAAGAUGAAAUUUUCCUAAACUUCUAAUAGCUAUUUUUAUCACUGCAGAUUUUAUUACCUUGACAAAAAAAAAACAAAAAAAACUCCGCUAAACUUUUCACUGCUUUUGAAAAGCAUUGCCUGUGGCUCAGGGAGAAAGCUAGAAGAACAUGAAGCAAGCAGCUGCAUGACACGUCCACGGGACAGGCCUGGGCAUGGAGCGAGGGCUCCAGAGACAGGAGGGAAGGGAGAGCUGACCUCGCCUGCCUUCGGUGGAAGGAGGAGGUGGGAGGCACACAGGGAGUGCCCGGGAGCCAGGUAGGCCUGGACUUGGAUCCUGGGGGGUGUGAGGAGACCGAGGCAACCAGAAGGCGUCUCAGAGACAAGACCAAGGGCAAACUACGUGGAAGCUCUCAAGGCCAUGUGCCGCCAGGAGCGUCACCUUCCCAGGAGCGUCACUAGACUCUGCUCUGCAGGGCUUUGGUUUAGUGCAGGGGCAGAGGGCUGGGUGGAGACAGGAAGCUUCAGAGCCACUCCACACCCACAAGGCCAGCCUCACUUCCUCACUCCUGACCCGUAGCUUGAGGCUGCCGGAUCAUCAGCCCUUCUGGGCCAGCAGUGUGUCUUGCUCUGCCUUUGCAGCUGCGUAAAGAGCGUGAGAAGCCACAGUAAAUGGUAACUUAAACAGAAAGAGGAAGUCCCGGAAGAUGGGCAUGCUCUUUAAAGGAACAUGAAGGAAGAGCCCACAUAACCCCUGACAAAGACUCUCUCCUUGACCAAACUUUAGUCAGACUCCUCCAAGCCCUCAACCUUGGUCCCUGUCCUUGCUGGGCCUGCAAAGCUCAGUUUCAACAGGGAUCCUGCUGUCAGUUUAUUGAGAACCCUUGAUCCUCGAUAUCAGAUCACCCUGGCCUACCUUCAACAAGAAUCCUUGUUGAAACCUGGAUCAGUUUAGCAAGAAGCCCGACCCUGAAAUCAUCUUCAUCUGGUGAAACCCCUCAACCUGCUGUGAAACCACCUAGAGAAGCACUGCCCUAACAUGCUUAAGGAUGCUUGAGAAAGCCCUGAGCCUACAAAAAGGCGUAAGACCGUGGCAAGAAUGAAGGAGUCAAGCAAUGUGAAAAGCUCCUGAAGCCCAAGGUUCUCUUCCCCAGUUUUGAGUCAUCUUAAUAUAGAGGACUGGGCUUGAGGACAUUCCGUGAAAUCUUGACUUACUGUGUUCUGUGUCUCAAAGCUCAAUGUGAAGCAGAUCUUACUUGCACUUCUAAAAGGAGGCAUGUUGAUGCAAUGGAAAAAGAUCUGAUGCAGUAAGACUCAGAGCCCUAAGAUUCUCUCUGUCACUAACUGCCACUACAAGCUUUUGUGAGGAUGGAAAGGUCUUUGCAGGGUGCCUGUACACAGAAAGUGUCUCUGAUAGGAAAGAACAUGUUGUUGGAGCUUACCAUUCUAGUGCAGCUUCCCUAACAGCAGCACCAGUGGGACCAUCUGUCCAGAUGCCCGGCCCUGUCCUUCUGAACAUCCUAGAUUCUUUGCACCCUCCAAUCAAUGUCCCAUGAGUUGCUUUCCUGCUAAAGUUAGCCCAAGAUGAUUUCCCUUGCUUGCAACCUAAGAGUCUUGCCUUGGU
rnacentral:lncRNA from 1 species